CGCGUGAGGAACCUGCCUUUCAGAGGGGGACAACAGCUGGAAACGGCUGCUAAUACCGCAUAACACAUAGGUGUCGCAUGGCAUUUAUGUCAAAGAUUUAUCGCUGAGAGAUGGCCUCGCGUCUGAUUAGCUAGUUGGUAGGGUAACGGCCUACCAAGGCGACGAUCAGUAGCCGGACUGAGAGGUUGGCCGGCCACAUUGGGACUGAGAUACGGCCCAGACUCCUACGGAAGGCAGCAG
rnacentral:rRNA from 1 species